UACAGGGGGGGCAAGCGUUGUUCGGAAUUACUGGGCGUAAAGGGCGCGUAGGCGGCCUCUUAAGUCGAACGUGAAAUCCCCGGGCUCAACCCGGGAACUGCGUCCGAUACUGGGGGGCUUGAAUCCGGGAGAGGGAUGUGGAAUUCCAGGUGUAGCGGUGAAAUGCGUAGAUAUCUGGAGGAACACCGGUGGCGAAGGCGGCAUCCUGGACCGGUAUUGACGCUGAGGCGCGAAAGCUAGGGGAGCAAACGGG
rnacentral:rRNA from 1 species